rnacentral:rRNA from 1 species
AUGUCGUCCUCUUCCACAAUAGAGGGCAAGGAUGGCGAGUUCACCGAGGUUGUGGUAGUGCGGCAUGGCGAGACUUCCUGGAAUGCCUCGCGCAUCAUACAGGGGCACUUGGAUGCAGAGCUGAAUGAGAUUGGGAGGCAGCAAGCUGUUGCGGUUGCUCAUCGGCUGUCUAAAGAAGCCAAACCAGCUGCCAUAUACUCGUCAGAUUUGAAGCGGGCGGCAGAGACUGCAAGAACAAUAGCAAAAAUCUGCAAUUUACCAAAUGUUGUGUUUGAUCCUGCACUUAGAGAAAGGCACAUAGGAGAUGUGCAGGGCCUGACGCUUCAAGAUGCUGUCAAAGAAAAGCCAGAGGCUUACAAAGCUUUUAUGUCCCACAAGAGAAACCAGCAAAUUCCUGGUGGUGGAGAGAGUCUUGAUCAACUAUCAGAGCGAUGUGUCUCGUGCCUGUAUAAAAUAGUCGAGAAACAUAGAGGGGAGCGAGUUAUCCUGGUCUCUCAUGGCGGAACCAUCAGAGAGCUCUACAGGCACGCCAGUCCCAUGCCGCUCCGCGGUAAGAUACACAACACGUCGGUUACAGUCGUGCUCGUUUCUGGUGAGACUGGCCGCUGCAUUGUUAAGAUGUGUGGAGAUGUUAGCCACCUUGAGGCCACCGGUGUUCUGGAGAAUGCCUUUGGCGGCGACAAGUCUUCAGCCUAA